UCUGCAAGUCAUAAUGGCUUUGUCAAAAUAAAAGUCAGAGCAAAUCCUCCUCCUGCACACCUUCCCACUCUCGGAGCUGUUCAAGCACAGACAUUUUCUAUUAGCUGCAGACUCUGCAUGCGUAAGGGAGAGACUCCAGCAUAAUAUCUGCACAAUAGCACCUCCAUACAAACACUGUGCCAGUAAUGGGAAAUUUUAAUGAUGUAAAGCAGCAAGGUCACACGAUGUGUCCAGGCAGCCCUUGGAAAGGCACAGUCUCUCCAGAUAUUAUGGAGGAAAGCUCAGAAUUGCUCUUGGUUCAUUAGGCUUUGCCUGAGGGGUUUUCUUCCACUAUUAAGUACAAACAAGGUUCAGGUUCUUGUUACUCAGUUCCGUGCAUGCAAUGCAAAAAGGUGAAGGGGAAGGUUUACCAAGAGCCAUUUGUAAAUAUGCUAAGACAAUUCAGAGGCAUUGUUUAAAUCCAUCAGACAUCCUGUGUAGUAAGUCACCUUAAACAAGAACACUGGGAAAGCUCUGUCAAUACAGCAACAUCUUUUUCAGCAUGGAACUUUUACAUCAACAUUGGCAAAGAGUCUGUGCAUAAAUUACACACAGCAGAACAUACAGCGCAAUUUCUUUCCCUCCAGGCGCUGACACUGUGUUCCCCUGCAGCCUGCCUAUUUCCCCCAGCUUUAUGACCCCAAUGAGAUGAGCUCUCACUGUUUUUUUCCUUGUUACAUUUUGAUAUUUCAAAGCAUGGCCUGCUUCUCACUCCCAUCUCCCUGCUCCACAUUAUUAAUGAAUUGGAAAGCAGACAUCAUUAGUUUUUGGAGACCAUUUCUUUUAAAAUUUACGGAACCCUUCAUCUGAAUCCCUAGAGCCAGUCUGCUGUUCUCAUCUUAGAAUCUUAUUAGCAUCAUAUCUCCUGGAUCCUGCCAUGCAAACUGCAUUGCUAUGCACUUUCUAGCACUUGACCCUUUUGCGGACGGAAUUAAUUUCCUCUUUGAAGAUAGAGCAGCAUGCUGUUGUGCUUGUUAAAGAACGAAAACUCAAACUAGAAGAUGAGAAACAAGCAGAUAUUCUCAGUUAAACUGUAAGAUUUUCUAUAGGGGGUUGAGAAAGACUGGUCAAGAGAAAUAAUAGACCGAUGACGCUUUAUUACCAGAAACAUCUCCUAAAAGAGCAUGCAAAUAAACUGACAAUACUCACUGGGAAUUCUUUUUUAUGGUGUGCUCUUUUUUUUUCCAGCAUCAUUGUCUUUGUCUGUAACCUUUCACAUCCUCCACCUGUUUCUGUGUGCAAAAUACAGAGAUUUUGGUUGUUAAAUUAAUGUGAAUACUACAAAGGACUAGAUUUUGCUUCCUGCUUGGGGCAACAAAAAGGUGCUCAAGCUGUAUUAAAACGCAUAAACAAAAAGAGCCCUUGCAAAAAGAGGUUAUUCUCUACAAGAAUAAAAUACCUAGCACCACGAAUACACUGAUCUCAAUACAGCUAACCCCUCAAAAUGCCCAACAUUCCUACAUAUGGAGUAAAUUAGAAAAAUUAAAUUGUUUCUUACUCGGUUUGCUAUUUUCAGUUCCAUAGCUUUUUUGUCUAUUGAAUAAUCCUCCCUUCACAAUUUUGUUUCUGAUGUGCAGUUUUUAGUAACAAUGUUUACUACGACUGUUGUAGAGGAAAUUCUUUAGGUUGAAGGCUCAAUCCCUUCCAUAAGUUCGUUAGGAAUAUGCUAAUAAAAAAUAAACUUCUACAAUUCUUAAGUAACUUGCAAAAGCAGGAAACCAAAGAGCACAGAAUGUCGUAGUAAGGCCUAAGCCUUUACCACCAAAGCUACUCAGACUAAACUCAGGAAUCAGAAUGAGUCCUGGAUAGCUCAAACACAUGGAAGCAGUCUGGGUCACCAGAGCACACUGAUGGCUGAGUGGAUUGCUAUUUCCCACGGCUGCACAGUGGUCCAAGUGAAAGGAGCUGGGAGGGACCCAGCUAGACACAACCACAGCAGGGAGCCACAGCUCCUGGGCAGUAAUCCAGCAGUCCCAUCAGCAUGGUGAAGUCAAAAGAAAGAAGAAAACUUUCCAAGCAUGGUGGGAACUGGAGGCAGGUCAACUUAUUCAUAAGACCUCUGCACAUAUAUACCCUGUCCACCGAAGCCAGACCAGAAGCCAACCCAAGAGAUGCUCUUUGCUCUGAAGCUUGGGCCUCCUUUAGCUCACACAACUGCCAAGUCUUGAUAACUACAUCUAGGCACAACAGUGCAAAAACCCUAUGUGUUUUCUCACACACCAUAGUCUGAGUAACACUGAGUGAAUGAAUAUCAUAUUCAUCACCUUAUCCUUUGCAUGUCCUCCAAGGGAGCAUGAAAGCUUCUGGAGAAAUGUCACUGUGCUUUUGUUUACUACCCAUGUUCUGAAAACGUAGGGGAUGUUCAUACAGAGAUCAUCAGGCAAAUGGCAUUAACAGCAGUAGCACGAGUACCAGUCACAGACUGGCAGAGAGCUUAUGAAUAGUACGAUGAAUGACCUGUAGCAAAAGCCAUGGGCAAGAGCUAGCCAUUAGUCUAGGGCUUAGUAAUGCACACUUCAAGUACAUUACUCACCAUCCAUCAGGCAACCCGCUAAAGAACUGAGAGAUUCCAGCACUUUUAAAUUUGUAACGCAGUGGCUGGCAGCCUGCACUACAUGCCCUAGGUUACAAGGGCAUGGAGAAAGACAAUUCAUUUUGUGUCACAGCCAGUAUUUCUUCUUCUCCUUUUCUGUGUGUACUUAAGAAAUGGGCCUUCUAUUACCUGCAGAUUAAUAGCAGAAUAAUCCUCUGGUGUCUCUGUUAACAUCAACUACUGAAGAAGGCUUUCAAAGAACUACCAACCCUUAUGGUUUUCAUUAACUGGACUAAGUGCAGAGAUGUGCAUGAGAAUGGAUUUGGUUUCUUAAUUCAAAGACAGUGCCUUAAACUAGAACAAUUACAAAGUACUUUUAGAAAACUGGAUGUGACAGAAUUUAGGUUGCCAGCAUAAUUUGGGUCUUCCUGUAUAAGCAUGUAAUAUGGACUCCAAUUAAUGAUCAUACAGUGUCCUAGAUUCAGAUAGUCAUAAGGUGGAUAAUGUACACAGAAAAAGUAAUCGGUCAGUAUUUCCUUUUCCCUCACGCAAAUCAGUGUGUGGCUCGGCUUGUGUUUACUGCACACUUUUCAAACCUCACAAAGAACACUGUUAUUAAUUUCCUAGGGGAAAUUUCUAUGAUAUUCAUCACUACCUAAGUUCUUCAGGACCAUUACCUAAUCUCAGCACAUUCAUGAGGAAAGAGUUUUAUCAUCGACACUUUAAAAAUGCAGAAUGAAUGCAGAAAUUCAAGUAUUAGAUAUGUCCUCUAAUUUUAGGUGCUUGAAUCCACGUGUCUACUUCUGAACUGUGAAGCACUUAACAACUUUACAACACUACAGCAUGGACAUAUUUUGGUUCGUUUUCCUUCUCUGGAAUUAGUCUGGCAGGAAGGAGGAGAGGGGAGAGGACCUGAUGGCAUGUGCUGCUGACAACCAGCAAAUGGAAAUCAGGAGAUGAGGAGAAAGUUGACAGUGACAAUGCAGAAAAAGGGAGAAGCUAUGAAGAAAAAAAGGAUCCACAACAAUGGGGGUGAGAACAGAGGGUGGGAGGCAGAAAAAUGGAACAAUGAAUGAGAAAUGAGAAAAGAAUGCAUGGAAAAGCAUGUAGGCAUGACAGAACUGAAAUCAAAGCCCCGUCCAAAGUAAAAGCAGUAUAAUUUGCGAAUCAGUUUAAAAUGAUUUAACCCAACUGUUGCAAAAUCUAGAGCAAAGUCUUAAUUUGGGUUCAGAGUAGCUUAAUUUGAUAAUUAAUCAAUGCGUGCCUCUUUUAAAUGACUAUAAGAAUAUUUAGACAGGAUUCCUCACCACUUAAAUAUUUCAUUUUUAAAGACAAUUCAAGUUUUUAUAUGGAGUAUGCUUCAAAGAAACUGCAAAGACAAAGCACAGAGAAAACAGAAAAUUCUUAGCUAUAGCAAUACAAUCAGAAAACCAAGGCUAAAACACUAUAAAAAUCCACAGAAUUUCUUUCCAUCUAGUCUAAAGGGUCUGCUGGCCUACAGAAGGGCAGGUCUGGGCAGCCUCUGUGCCUGUGACUUGGUUCCUUGCACCCACAGAACAUGCUGAUACUGGCACUUAUUCAGGUGUUUGCAUGCAUGGCUGUGAAGCACAUGCAGACAUUCACACCUUGUGCUUCAGUGUAUACUUAGCAGCUUACGGCCUUCUUUGCGAGGCCUUAAAAUAUUCUAGUAUAGGACAAUUCAGUAGUUAUGUCCACGUUCUGUGGGACCAAAUCCUGCAGAUGUGGUCUAUGUUUGUUCUGCAGCUCUGUGCUGCACUUGGCCGGCUCUGUGCAGUGCCUGAGCGCUGGCCAAGCUGUGCCAGAUGCCUCGCCUGCCCACGCUGCUGCUCUUGUUUGAGCUCUGCCAGCACAUUUCCUGGUCGCUUCCUGUAUUUAAGACACCCAUCAGUAUUUCACCAAUUGCUUCUGUAUUUUCUCAAUGAAAGAGAAACUGAGGGUGUAAAUGGUCACAAUCCAUCUAAUAUAACAAUCUGCAUGGACCUGCAUGCUAAGAAACAACUCAGUCUUGCUUGCAGGACAAACCUGCUUCUGUUGGCUACCACUACAGUAUGAACUCCUCCAGCCACUCCAAACAAAGGUAUCACAUUUUUACCUGUAGAGGCACAGCAUUCUGCUUCCUCCUGGUCGCAGGCUCUCACUGCCAGAGCUCCUGCAUCCCCACCACCGCCUUGUUGCAACCAGGACUGCCCACAGCUGGGCUCCUACCAGAGAAGCUCACCUGCAGCUCCAACACCACCAUUUCAGCCACAUCACUGCUGGGGAGCCGCAGUGUGUGCCAUGUGUUAUCACCUGGGUUUCUUCCAGGGCUGGGCUUCCGUGCACCAAUCAAGCAGCUGAGCACAGGAACAGCUAUGCUGCUCCGAAGCUUGCUGACUGAGCUCAGGGUCACCUGGGGCAAAGAGCUGGCACUUCUUUUGCCUUUUUCUGAUUGUGAUUUGUUUACCAGAAUUGAGUAUUUGACCAACAAAUAAGUUGCUCUUUAAGAAACAACCUGAAACCUCAUUUCUUCUCGCUUGAUCAUUUGCCCUGGUAAGGCUGAAGUAAAAAAUAAACCAAGCCACUGCUGAAAAAGUACAGUGGUAACCUGAAUGCGGCCUUGGUGACCGAGUCAGGUCUUGAGCAGCUACAGAAAAAGCAUGUGAGAGCCAGGUUCUGCAACAGCACCUUUCUCUGCCCUCUGGGUUAUGCACACGAGAGAACAUAGACUUAAGUCUUUGGUCACAUUCCUUUCCUGAAGCAGUCUAGCCUGGGAUCUUCAGAGAACAGCCUACUCUCAUCAGACACAAGACUCUCUUGACUGAACCUGUUUGAAACAUUCAACACAUUACCGUCUCAAGGAAAACUUUAGUCCUGCCUCGCCAUACUGAUCUGGCAGAGAGCUGAAUCCAGGCUGCAAGACGUGGAUUAGGGAGAUACCCAUAUGUCCUGGGGCACCAAUACCAGGGCUGCAGUUCUCCCUACAGACAUUACAUCAUUGCAGCUUGCUUUGAUCUGAGCUGUGGUCUUCAAAGCACCAAAGAUGCCACUGGCUUUUUCUGUCUCCCUUCAACAAGAUGCUCAGCUGCCUGCAGCUUGUGCCCAAGAUUCUGAGACCAGAGAAUCAGGAAUGAAUCUAACACAUGGGCUGCAUGUUGGAAAUAUGAAACAAAGCAAUAGUCAUGUCUCUGUAUUAUAAUAUAUUAAUGUUCGCAAUGUGCAAAUUGGACCCAGAGAUGUAAUUUCCACCUUUAAAAUUUAUUCUGUUUCUCUGUUGUCCCUCGAUCUUUCUACUUGCUUUCAAACAAGAGAGUCAAAACUGUAAAGAAUGACUCAAGGUAUCAAUGAAGAUAGAAUUAAUGGAACAAGCAGACCUGGUAUUGUAGAGGACUGCUCCCUAAUCAGCCACAGGGUUAUGCAGGUUUCCACUGCCGUGGCAGAAAUGAGGAGGGAAGGGCACACAACAAGGAAGCAGGAGCGGUAGGGAUUCACCUUGAAGGCUUUCAUGCGCAUGAACUCACACACACACAGAACAAAAGCAACUCUGCUGUGCCUAUGGGGAACUCUCACCCUCAGGCUAACCCUAAAGCAAGCAUUAACCUACUUAUUGCACCUCUAGGCAAUUUGCUGGGUGAGGAAGCUGACUAUUUGGGGAGGAAGGUGAGCAGAUCUCAGAUAUUCUCAGCACAAUAUCCCCGUCUGCUGCUGAAGUACAGCACAGUGAAGGCCUGGUCUGGAUCACCUGUAUCAGGUCUGUUGAUCUGCCUACCUCACAUGUGAGGCAGAGAACAAGGAUGUGACCACCUGCCCUGCACACGAAGUACCCUCAGACUGAAAGAGCAGCACACUGCCUGUCAUGUGGGAGAAGUGCCAAGGGCUCUGCUGUGGAGCUUGGGCUCACUCAGGCUUUGCUGGCCAAGCAGCAUUUGUCCUUUCUUAAGAUUUACGCUAUGCCUCUGGACUCAGAAAACAUGCCAUUGGCCUGACUGUCACUUUGCAUCUUCAGGAACUGCCAUCAGUGCUUCCAUGCAGACAGUCGGCUCCAGAUUCAGUAGGUAUUGCUGUCAGUUUUAGCACCAGUCAUCAUGCUGCUGCCCUUGAAACACACAUACGUGGAUGCCGGAGCAGACCAUCCCCAUCGCUGUCGGUCUGGGGACAGCACUGUGAUUAGUUACAGGCAACGACAGAGAACACCAAGCCACUGAGCUGGCAAGGGAAGUAAGCACACUGAAACAGGGCACCAGGACAGACAAAACAUGAGAAAGAGCGACAGAUAGCAUAUGGCCAUGGGCGAGCAGGAGCCUGGGCAUGAUGUGAGCAGGAAACAGGGUGAGCAGGCAGGUGAGAAAGGGAAGGGCACCAGCUGAGAGCAAGUCCCAGAGCUACAGCAGGAAUGCGUAACUAAGCUAAGGCUGGCCUUCCCUGGGAGCUUUCAGCAGUGCUUAUGGCACUGAUAGCCAGCAGUGUUUGUAUACUUCGCACUUGGGAUUCCGUGUUUAGAAAAGGAACACAAGGUUCCAAGAAAGAAAAACCACAAAUAAUUCCAGCUAAGAGUCCAAUCCUACGCAAUCUGCUCCUUUGGUUACUGAACAUAAUGUAAAUAUUCAGUUGAAUUUUAUUCUGCUAAGAUAUUUAACCAUUUCAUUGCCAACCAGAGUUGUGUCUACAAAUACAGACCAGUUCCAGUGACCAUGGCCUGACAAAGGUUGUAAACAGCACCUUCUGAUGUUCAGGACCCUAACAUCAGGCUGAACACUGAGAAGGAUCCUGAUGAUGAUGUCAGACUUUAGCACCUUGCCUCGUUUCUCUCACGAUGCCUUUCAUACAAAACUACUCGAUUUCCUGUGUCUGCAGCGCACAGGCAGUAUCUGCCCGUAGUACCUUUGAUAUUUUUAGUCAUGCUGUACAGUACCAUCUCGCUUAAAAUUUGUCUUCAUUUGAGCCCAGGCCCAGUGCCCUGGCUGCCAUCCUUGUUUCAUCUAGGCCAGGAACAAAGGAACUGCACGUUACAGCCUGUCUGUCUGACCGUGUUUUGUUAUACAUAUUUUCUCUCUUCUACAAGUGAUAAGCUUGCUUCCAUUUAAAGCCCGCAGUCAGCUUUAAUCUACUUAGCUGGGAUUAAUGAGAGAUUUGUUAAAGAUUUAAAGAUUUUACACACUUUGCUUACAACUGUUGUUAUCUACAAACAUUGGGCAAUAAGCCCCAUGCAGACAAACUGUCCUUAAAGUCAGGCACAUCCAUCAGGUGUGCCCAGGCUGGCAAAGCAACACUGAUGGCUGACACCUGUUGUGGGCAGAUAAGUGCCUUCGUGGAACUGUUCAGAAAGUAGUGCUCAGACCUCUGCUUCCACCUCAUCCUUCCUGUGGAAAAGUGGACAAAGCUGGGAUGAAGCUGGUAACUCAGAACAUGGGUUACUAUGUUGGCAUCAAUAGUUCAAGUUGUUGUGGAACUAAAAAUGUGCAGGAGUGGAAAAUGAGAAGCAUGUCCAGUGCAGAAAGGUAGAGAAUUUUAACUGAAGUCUCCUCCCAUUAACAAAUAUGCAGUAAAGAACAUUAAAUCUUUGCUUAGACUUGGCCUUCUGCAGACAAGACUAGUAUAGCAGUCUCUUCCCUUAUGAUGAGUCUUAAGUAUACAAGUCAAGAGGAAAAUGAUGAGAUGGGCUGUUAAGUGGAGAACUGUAUCCCACUCAUCCAACUGUUACUUUCAGUACAGAUGUAAGAGCAGAUUACUUGGAAACCCAUGGUUAGAGAUACGUAUUCACCAUAUCCUUCAUCAUUCACACUGGAAAUGUCCUCCUCCAUGACUGGCUGAGUUUUGCACCAAUGCCGAAAAUAACCAUUAUUUUGAAGUAAGAGUAUGGAUUUAAUUAUCCUGAUGCAGAUCUGGUUGCAUAAAUAAAU
ensembl:lncRNA